ACGGGAGGCAGCAGUGGGGAAUAUUGCACAAUGGGGGAAACCCUGAUGCAGCAACGCCGCGUGAAGGAUGAAGGCCCUUGGGUCGUAAACUUCUGUCCUUGGGGAAGAUAAUGACGGUACCCUUGGAGGAAGCUCCGGCUAACUACGUGCCAGCAGCCGCGGUAAUACGUAGGGGGCAAGCGUUAUCCGGAAUUAUUGGGCGUAAAGAGUACGUAGGCGGCUUCCUAAGCGCAGGGUCUAAGGCUAUGGCUUAACCAUAGUUCGCCCUGCGAACUGGGUGACUUGAGUGCAGGAGAGGAAAGCGGAAUUCCUAGUGUAGCGGUGAAAUGCGUAGAUAUUAGGAGGAACACCAGUGGCGAAGGCGGCUUUCUGGACUGUAACUGACGUUGAGGCUCGAAAGCGUGGGGAGCAAACAGGAUUAGAUACCCUGGUA
rnacentral:rRNA from 1 species